rnacentral:rRNA from 1 species
AGCAGCCGCGGUAAUUCCAGCUCCAAUAGCGUAUAUUAAAGUUGUUGCAGUUAAAAAGCUCGUAGUUGAAUUUCGGGGUUAGUAGGUUGGUCAUGCCUCUGGUAUGUACUGGUCUCACUGAUUCCUCCUUCCUGAUGAACCUUAAUGCCAUUAAUUUGGUGUUUUGGGGAAUUUGGACUGUUACUUUGAAAAAUUAGAGUGUUUAAAGCAAGCUAACGCUUGAAUACAUUAGCAUGGAAUAAUGAAAUAGGACGUUCGAUCCUAUUUUGUUGGUUUCUAGGAUUGACGUAAUGAUUAAUAGGGAUAGUUGGGGGCAUUAGUAUUCAAUUGUCAGAGGUGAAAUUCUUGGAUUUAUUGAAGACUAACUACUGCGAAAGCAUUUGCCAAGGAUGUUUUCAUUAAUCAAGAACGAAAGUUAGGGGAUCGAAGACGAUCAGAUACCGUCGUAGUCUUAACCAUAAACUAUGCCGACUAGGGAUCGGAUGAUGUUAAUUUUUAAUGACUCAUUCGGUGCCUUACG